rnacentral:rRNA from 1 species
UACGUAGGUGGCAAGCGUUUGUCCGGAAUCACUGGGCGUAAAGCGCACGUAGGCGGAUUGUUAAGUCAGGGGUGAAAUCCUGGAGCUCAACUCCAGAACUGCCUUUGAUACUGGCGAUCUCGAGUCCGGGAGAGGUGAGUGGAACUGCGAGUGUAGAGGUGAAAUUCGUAGAUAUUCGCAAGAACACCAGUGGCGAAGGCGGCUCACUGGCCCGGUACUGACGCUGAGGUGCGAAAGCGUGGGGAGCAAACAGG